rnacentral:lncRNA from 1 species
AAGGAGAUAAAUCUACCUAAAACCCUGGGAAGCAGGUGAAACAGCUCCUCUGUUUGAAGGGAUGGAAAGUGAUUUUUUCCUGAAUCUCUCAUCAGAAAGCAUGCGCUCCUGUUGAUUGCCAUUUCCUAGGCAGUGAAUGAGCAGCGAUGAACUGCCAGUUGCCAUGUCAGAGCCCCUCGCCACACCAGCCACCAAUUUCUGAGCCCUGAUAACCUUUAUGGGAUGUUCUGUGGAGGAGGAUCGCACUGCUGAUGUGAUGAUUCAGAACCUGUACCUACUGAGUGAUGCAUUUCAUUAGUGUCUAUCCAGCACAGGGGGUCAAUUUCCAUCAUUGGCUUGAAAUGGGGAAGCAGCAGGUCUCUGCUUGCCUUGUCUCCCCCAACUUAUUUUGUUCUACUAGAACUCCAGAAGCUGUCAAACGAAAGUCCUGGCUGCCAACUCUGCUAAAAGUUUCCUGGUGCCCCAGUUGCAACGGGUGAUAGUCCUCCACAGGCUUCCAAGUGAAAUAUGAUCAUUUCUUGCCCAUCCUUGUG